UUAUAGACAUGGUGCUAACAGUGGGCUACUCCCGUAGCAGAAGUUAGAUCGGCCAUCACACCUGCUGAUGUUAUUCCAGUCGGUAGCUCUGUGGUUUAAUAUUAAGGGUAGCGGAAACGUGAAUGUGUGUUAAGCGUCAAAAACCGAUUUAACAACCACAAGGAGUACUUCACUCUCACUAACAGGAGA
rnacentral:sRNA from 1 species